rnacentral:rRNA from 1 species
UACAGAGGUCUCAAGCGUUGUUCGGAUUCAUUGGGCGUAAAGGGUGCGUAGGCGGCGCGGUAAGUCGGAUGUGAAAUCUCGGAGCUUAACUUCGAAACUGCAUUCGAUACUGCCGUGCUUGAGGACUGGAGAGGAGACUGGAAUUUACGGUGCAGCGGUGAAAUGCGUAGAUAUCGUAAGGAAGACCAGUGGCGAAGGCGGGUCUCUGGACAGUUCCUGACACUGAGACACGAAGGCCAGGGGAGCAAACGGG